CAGCCGCCGCGGGAAUACAGAGGGUGCGAGCGUUAAUCGGAUUUACUGGGCGUAAAGCGUGCGUAGGCGGCUUCUUAAGUCGGAUGUGAAAUCCCUGAGCUUAACUUAGGAAUUGCAUUCGAUACUGGGAAGCUAGAGUAUGGGAGAGGAUGGUAGAAUUCCAGGUGUAGCGGUGAAAUGCGUAGUGAUCUGGAGGAAUACCGAUGGCGAAGGCAGCCAUCUGGCCUAAUACUGACGCUGAGGUACGAAAGCAUGGGGAGCAAACAGGAUUAGAGACCCCCGUAGUCCCUGUCUCUUAUAC
rnacentral:rRNA from 1 species